AGUGAGCCUGUCAAAAGUAGACCUCACCUUUGGACAACCUGUGUCCUCCAUCUUCUCCUCCUCAUCCUCUUCCUCCUCCUCUCUAUACUGGUAGAUAUAUCUCUUCUGGUCCUCCAUUUCCGGUAGCUUGACUGGUUCUGCUGCCGUUUCAUUGACCAGUGCUGUUGUCCUCCAGGGUUGGUCCUGACUAGGGAAAGCUGCCCAGGACCUCAUGUCUCUGUUAGCCAGCAUAGGGAGCUCUUCUCUGGAGUUAGGGUCUUGGCUAAAGCCCUGGUCUUGGUUCUGGUGCUGGUUGUACCCCAGUAGGGUUUGGAGGGAUGAGGGGAGUGUGAAUUCAGCCACCAGAAGGUUAGGGGCAGAAGUUGUUAUCAGCUUUCUGUAGGGGGUAGCCUGGGGCUGGGCCUGGGGGGGUGAGAGGGGGUCUGUGGUCAGUCCUGGGGUGUUGCUACUUCCCCCCUCCUCCUCCUCUUGGUGUGGCUGGUACAUGAUGUCAGAGGAGAUACUCUGUCUGUAGCCAUUGCUAUGGUUCCAGAUGUCCUCCAGCUCCUCCUCUACCUCCUCAAACUGCUGGUGGUCUGGAUGGAUGGUGAGGUCGGGGUCGACCGGAUCAGAGUCGAGUUCUGUCUCUGUCUGGUGGUGUCUGUUUCUGGGUGUUGUUUUUGUCUCUGGGUGGGCAGGAGCUGGGGUUGCUGUGGGAUUUCCCCUGGGUGUGGACACAUCCUCCAUACGCCCCUCCUCCAGAGACACUAGCCUCCCCACCACAGUCCUCAUGGGCUGGGGCUCUUGGAGAACAUCAGGUGCAUUGAGCUUCAAGCUCCCAGAGUUGGUGACACCAGAGAUGCCAGAGUCCAUUGAGUCUUGCAUCAUACUCCCUAACCCACUGACCUUCAGAUUCACAACCAUCUGAGAAGCCUGGCUGGUCUCCUGGAGGUCAACACUCUCUCUAUGGGUCUUCAACCUAUGAUGGUACUGGUGUCCAUUGAGGUCCUGAAUGAGGCACUCGUGGUUCUGAUAGGCUGAGGAUGGACAGGGGUCCUUGUGCUCAUGGUUCUGAUAGGCUGAGGAGGGACAGUGGUCCUUGCUCUCAUGGUUCUGAUAGGCUGAGGAUGGACAGGGGUCCUUGCGCUCAUGGUUCUGAUAGGCUGAGGAGGGACAGGGGUCCUUGCUCUUUACAAUGGGACUUCUACUAACCAUGGUCAUUUCCAUGUAAUUGUAAUGGUCUCGGUUCAUUGGAGUGGGACUCUUUGGGCAAUAAGCUGUGAUUGGUGGUUGCUUGCUGAAGAUGAGCUCCGACCACUCCUGCUCAGGCUCCUGGAGUACGGUCUGGAUCUGUGUUAGGGAUAGGUCAUUGCUUGAUACGUUCUGAUCCCAGUCCUCAUCCAGGGCAGGAGGAGGAGGAGGAGGAAAAUCUGUAUCUAGAUUAGACAGAGGCUCCAGCUGAAUAGCCUGUGUCAGUGGCUUUGUCUGUUUUAGUAUUUGUGUCGGUGUCUGUCUCAGUAGUGGCUGUGUCUGUGUCAGUAAUGGUUGUGUCUGUGUCUGUAUCUUUGUCAGUAGUGGUUGUGUCUGUGUCGGUAGUGGUUGUGUCUGUGUCAGUAGUGGCUGUGUCAGUGUCAGUAGUGGCUGUGUCUGAAUCUGUGUCAUUGUUUCAUAUCUGUAAGUAGUGACGGCCUCAUUAUCUGGUGCUCUGUGCGUGUCUGAGGGAGGGGAGCGGGUAUGUUUGAAAGAGCUGAGGGCUGCAUGUGUCUCUGUGUGAGGGUUGGGAUUGAGGUUUGGGUUGGAGGUUCCCCUGUGUUCUGGGAGUCCUAUAGUGAUGACAUCCUGUAUACUGGGGAUCAACCUCAUGUCUUUGGAGAGGUCGAAGGUCAAAACAGACCCCAGAGACAGGAACCUGCAGUGGCUCCUCACCUGGCCCCUGGGUGGAGCUAUAGAGACUGCCUCUGUCACUGCAUAGGGGCUGACAGUGGACACCCCAGAACAUUCAUCUUCAAUAUCCCUGGCCAAUGGGUUAUCCAUGUAGUCCACGAGUUCCACCCCCUGCCCUGGGCCCACCCCGUCGGCCUUUAAUAGGCUCUUCUUCUUCCUCCGGCCCUCCUUCAUUGGCCAGGUCUGGGUGUCGUACAGCGUGAUUUGCUGGGGUGCAGCUUCAGCAGGACAUGCCACCUCUGUCUGCUCCUCCCCCUCUACAACCAUGAUUUUCUGAAUGGUGUGGCGGCCAGCGUCUCUCUUCCUUCUCCUCUUCUUGCUCCUUAUCUUUAGACUAGAAAAGAUGGAGGUGUUCUUGGGCAGGGAGGAGGGGAAAGAGACGCAAGAUUGAGGAGCCCUGGAGGAGGAGGGGGAUGAAGAGGAGGAGGUCUUGGUGUGGAGGCGGGGCAGUAACAUACUCUCGUAUGCAGGAGCUGAUGUCAUGUUGUUGUCCUUUAAAUAGAGGAGGACAGAACACAGGUUUAGACAGGAGAGGAGGAGAUAUGAGUAGAGACAGGGGUAGAGAGGGAAGGGAGAGGAGAGGAGUGGAGAGAGGAUAUUAGACAGGAAAAGAGAGAGGAGAGGAGACAGUGAUAGAGAGGAGAGGAGACAGGGAUAGAGAGGAGAGGAGACAGGGUUAGAGAGGGAGAGGAGAGGAGACAGGGUUAGAGAGGGAGAGGAGAAGAGACAGGGAUAGAGAGGGAGAGGAGAGGAGACAGGGAUAGAGAGGAAGAGGAGAAGAGACAGGGAUAGAGAGGGAGAGGAGAGGAGACAGGGAUAGAGAGGGAGAGGAGAGGAGACAGGGUUAGAGAGGGCGAGGAGAGGAGACAGGGUUAGAGAGGGCGAGGGGAGGAGACAGGGAUAGAGAGGGAGAGGAGAGGAGACAGGAGGAGGGGCGGAGAUAAGAGAGGAGACAGGGAGGAGAAGAGACAGGGUUAGAGAGGGCGAGGAGAGGAGACAGGGUUAGAGAGAGCGAGGGGAGGAGACAGGGAUAGAGAGGGAGAGGAGAGGAGACAGGGUUAGAGAGGAUAGAGAGGAGACAGGGAUAGAGAGGGAGAGGAGAGGAGACAGGGAUAGAGGAAGAGGAGAAGAGACAGGGAUAGAGAGGAAGAGGAGAGGAGACAGGGAUAGAGAGGGAGAGGAGAGGAGACAGGGAUAGCGAGGGAGAGGAGAAGGGACAGGGAUAGAGAGGGAGAGGAGAGGAGACAGGGAUAGAGGAAGAGGAGAAGAGACAGUGAUAGAGAGGAAGAGGAGACAGGGUUAGAAAGUUGACAGUAUUGGACAAUUAUGUUUCAUAUUGUGAGAUUGUUAGUGCAAAUGGUUAUCAGGGCAGAGAGCCUCAUGCAGCAUUCCUCUGCUAACAGAAUAUGUGUCCCUAAUGGCACCCUAUUCCCUACCCUGGUUAAAGUAGUGCACUAUGUAGGGAAUAUACACUCAGUAUACCAAACAUUAGGAACACCUUCCUAAUAUUGUGAUGAUACACAUUUUUUACUUGUUUUUUAUUUCACCUUUAUUUAGCCAG
ensembl:lncRNA